rnacentral:lncRNA from 1 species
UCCAGAAUUUAUCAGAGAAUUGAUUGAUAAUGUAUAUGAUUUUUGUUACGAAUGAAUAUUUUUCAAGUCAUGACUUUUUUCAACUCUAACUUAUGCCUUCCUCGUAUCCCUAACAAUCUUGGGGGGAUCUGUGGGAAAUUGGGGUUUUUGGGUGGGAAAACAUUAAAUUGAGCAAUGUGUGUUGCCAAAAGAAGUUGAAAAUCAACAAAAUAACAAAAAAUCUCUGAAAAUACUUUGUUGGUGGUGGCGCUGGCAGCAAGCAGUGCUUUGUUAUUGCUAAGCAGUGUUGCCAAUGAUUCACUAGGUUUCUGGCUGUAUCCAAUACAUUAAAUGAAAACCCCAAAAGCUAACUAACCAAACCCAACAUUAUAACCUUGCUAGGGGGAGGGGGGGGCUGUGCCCUCCUAGAUGCCCUCAGGGGUUACUAAAUAAAUCCUAACAUUAAAACCUUUUAGCCAGCGGGGCUGCUACCCACAACCUUGCCUCAAGUUACAAACCAAACCCAACAUUUCUAGAAGAUCUUGUAAUGUUUUCUGUGGACAAUUUAUAGUUUCUCCCAACCAAUAAUUUUUUGAUAUGCAUUAAGUCGAAGUUAUAAUGUUGAGUUUGGUUAGUAACUCUUAGGGGAUAGCCUUUGCAAUGGACCCAAAUCCAGGGGUAGUGAAUUGUUGGCAGCGCUGCUCAACAUUAAUAGCAAGGUUUGCUGUCAUCACAGCCAACCGCAUUUAUGUGAUUUUGUUGAUUACUGAUAUCUUUUUGCAAUGCACAUUACUCAAUUUAAUGUCCCCCUCACCCAAAAACUCAGAUUUCCCACAGAUCCCCCAAGAUAGUUGAGAAUGGGAGGUAGGCAUAAGUGAGAACUGAAAAAUUCGAACUUAACUUGAAGAAUAUACAUUUGUGAUGGAAAUGGCAUAUACCAUCAAUCAAUUCACUAGAUUUCUCACCAGAAAAACAAAAGUCACAUCAGAGAUUCCAUGGUUGGAUGAAACUGCAAAUUGACCAUAUUUUUUUCUUAAUGCCAACUCUGAUAGUGUGUGUAUUUAUUGUAAUUAUAUUUUAACAAAAGCAUUGACAUACAUCUAAAAAUAGAGUAAGAAAAAUAAAAUCUAUCAGAGCUCUUGUAAAGAAUUACCAACUUUAUUCUUUGGUUAAGGUGAAUCUCAUCCUGUGUGUUAUCUUUGAUAUCUAACAAUUCUAUUGGUCAUUUUCAAUUGUUGUUUGAGAAGUACAAUUGGUAGAGAAAGGUGGCAGGGAAAUGCAGUCGAACAAUGGCUGCAGUAUAUUUAUAUAAAAGUACAAGUUCAAAUAAACAAAGAUAAUGAUAAUGAAACUCUUCCAGGAGUUCCUCUUGUCCAACCUCCAAGACUGCACAGGACUGUGGAGAUAAGCGAGCAGUGUGACUCAUGGCCGGGGUACAGAGGGAGGUGAGGCUGCUCCAGGUCAAGCAUCAGGUCCCAGGGUGAGGGACAAUGGUGGGGAAUGCCUUUGGGAAGGAUUCCAGAACACUCCAUGACAGUUCCAGCUGGAGGGUAGUGUGUUCUCAAAGACCCAGCAGUCACUGUCUCUCUGCACUGGGGCCAUCAGCUUAGGCCAGUGUUGGGCUCUGCCCCUGGUAACACUGGUUUGAGGUCAUGCCAGGCACCUCAAGAGACCAUAGAAGUUGCUGCUGCUCAGGUGUGAUGUUUGUGUCCAAGUACCCGAUAUAUUCCUAAAGUCCGUGAAAUAGUGCUUCUCAGGCCUCACAAUAUCUCAUCAAAUCUUUGACGAGGAGCUCUUGGCAGGAGGAUACACAACCCUUGAGUAGAGGACUACACCAUCUUGCAGAGCUCUUGGUAGGAGGAUACACAACCCUCGAGUCAGAAGGUGUUGUGCAUGGAUAGGAGAGGAAACCUUGUCCAAGGCCAACUGAAGACCUCCAUGGACACUGCUGCUGCUGCUGCUUGAUCUUGGUCAGGAUUUCUUCUGAUGCAGGCCUUUUUGUCCACAGCUCCUGUAGGGAAAAAGAUAAAGACCAGCAAAUUGCAGACCAGACAUCUAGGAUGCCACAUUCUCUUCAAGAACUUUUUCACAGCUUCCUUCAUCCUUUGCACUUGUCUCCACAGUCCUAGCAACAACCGUUACCUUAUUGUUCUCACUGCUAAAUUCUACACUUAGAAGACUCUUCCAUACCCAUCUACAACAUCCAGACUUCUGAGCUCAUCUGCCAAUUCACUCUUGACUAACACCUACUGCUGCAUUCAUGCUUCUCAUUCUGGCAGCCAGUUCCUCCAAAUCGCUUAACUCCUUUUCACUCUACCCAGUCUGCUUUCACUCUUUAGCUAAUGUGUUUCAAUAUCCCCUAGUGCAUAUCUAACCAUUGUGUGUGCAUUAUGCUAACUAAUUUUGCACUCAGUCCAUCAAAACCAUUAAGCAUAUCUAUUCAUUUCCUUACCUAGUAUACCUAUAUGUGCAUAUAUAUAUCCAAAACAACCACCCUCACUCCAGCAUACUCUGUCUUGGAAAUACCAAACUUCCUGCUGUUCUCGGUCACUCGCUACUAUCAUGUACACCACAGUUACCAGCAAUCUUUCAUACUUACUAUGCUCACUUAUGUACUCUACCUCAACAGCUAAAAUAUCCUCUCAUGGCACUGUUUCUUAUAUCUAGUUUUAUACUCUUAAUUAAAAUUCCUUUCCUUUCUAUACACAAAAGCUACUCAACCUCCUACUCUGUCCUGUACUUUCUGAUCAUCACAUAGUCACUACCGUCCACUAUCAUCCCUCAGGCGUCUCACAGUCAUUCCUGUGUCGAAAUGCCACUUACCGAGUUCCUUUGUUCACAUUCUCAAAUUUUCCAAUGUCCCAUUCUCUCACAUUCACACCCAAUCUUCAUACAUCCUCUUACCCAGUACUUGCCUCCUCUUCUGCUUACAUUCACACACCCUCUUCCUAGUUUCUCUUUCAUUCUGGUGUCACCGCUGCUGCUGCUGCCUUGAUCUUGAAGCUACAGGUGGCUUGGGAGGACUCCUGGACAAGGCUUAUGGAUCAGCUACUCUGUAGAAGAAAAACAAGUUAUAUAAUAUUUCAAUAUUAAUUGUUCUACAUAUGUCAUGCCUCUGCACACUCUUUCACAUGCUCUAUCAUAAUUUCUAAACAGUCCCAGCAGUACUUUACCAUCCAUUAUUCCUUCUACCUGUCUUCCUUUUUUUCAUUCCUAUUAUGCCUCAAUUCUGUAACAAUCACUUGCAACUUUUGUUUCUCUCUCCUAACUCGCUCCAGCACCAAAUGAGGUUCUCUUCCUCUCCCAUGUAUCAUAUUUUGCUGCUCAACUAAGACCAUCAGUAUUUCCUUGCAUUAAUCAUACCACCUUCCAUACAUUGUGGCAUCUUUGUCUUUGUACCAUUCAUUCCAGAGUAUUCUUUCAUUCCAUCUCCUAAUCAUUCAGUUCUACAGACUACCAUUUUAAUCUUCCUUUGUCUCACGUCAGUUUCCACUCUACCUCCUCUUAUCACAACCCAUUCAUGCUCAUUUUGAUUGCUCCCAGCCAUUCUCAUCCCCCACACAACUUAAAAUGCAUUCUUGCCUGUCAUUUUCAUGCACUUCAUUUGCUUCCAUUUGCACUCCAUAGAUAGACCUUUCUUCUUACUUUUAUUUACUUUCUUUGGUCUCCAGUGUCACUCAUCCUAAUCUCACCCCAAACACCUCUUCUAUACCAUCCAGAACCCAUCCUCUGCAUGCCCAACACGCCGCUUAACUUGCCCUUUUUCUUCCACUACCUGUAUGUUCCUCUUGCAUUGUGUUGGUCUCUGCAGGACACCCAUAAAUGCCACAUUCUUGUCUUGAGGUUCUGACUACACCAUCCACCACAUUCUUCAGUCUUCUCUACAACAUGGUCCAGGUUGACCCAAAGCAUACUUCUGCCUGCUUCUGCUUCCACCAUUAAGUAGUCUCCCUGCAACAUUUUAUUGAUAGUUAUUGAUGGUUUAUUUCAUCAUCCACUGUAAAUAAAGAUUUCCCUUUA